CCUGUGCUCAUGUGGCCCCUGGAAAUAGCUGGAAUGAGGCCAGUUUAUGUCAUCACAUGACCCCCACCUCUGGAGCUGGCCUCCACCCCAGCUGCCCUUCGCUCCUGAACUUGAGCUGUGGAAGGGAGGCAAGGCUCAGUCUGCAGAUGGGGAGGGCGUCAGGGGCCACUGGGGGCUCUGACCCGCUAGGGAGGAUGUGGGUCCCCAGCGCCGUGUCCUUCCUGGCAUCACACCCAAGCCAAGCUGCAGUCUUCAGGACUGGGACACAUUUGGAGGCUGCCCCUUGAUCGUAGGGACUGGAGUCCAGAAUGAACAGCUGCCUCCCAUCUCGGGGUCUGACCACCACACCUGCCCGGAAUGCUCUGGAUGGUGGAUGCCCUACAGUCACGGUCCGAGCAAUACUCACCGAAGUCACCUGUGGGGCCAACCUCGCCGUACAGGCCUGCUCUGCCCGGAGCUCCCUUGUCGCCCUAGAGCAAGGUCAGACGUGAAAACAUCUCAGAAGGCUGUUCACAGACAAAGCCUUCGAGUUUUUCCGCGUAACAGUGGUUCCUCCUGGACCGUGAAGCCAGACACUAAGAACUGACACUAAGAACAGAGAUGAUGGGUGUCGCGGUCACGACGGUGGUGGCAACACGCACGGCUGACUACAUCCCACCCUGCCUGGCUGUGCACCGGCGCCCGUGCUGGGUCCUGUCUCAAGAGCGCCAUUGAAACUUCAGGACAACCCUAUGAACUUCCCCUCCUGACGAGGAGCACACAUCCGUGUGGCCCACUCAUCUCCACGGCUCGGCUCCAUGAACUUUACUUGUGUGCCUCCCACAUAAUGACAUCGAGCGUUUUCAGCCUCCAGGACAUUCCCUCGUGCCCUUCCCUAGUCCCUAAUCUGGCCCGAGACGGCCGCUGUCUGGCUGACCUCUGUCCCAGUCUCGUUGGCUCUUGACCUUUACACAGACGGGGUCACAUCGUUAGCACUUUCUGCUUUAUUUUGUUCAGCACGACGUCACCCGUAUGGUUGCAUUUCUCGGGAAUUCUCUCGACCGCGUGAUCACCAGUGGUGGUGGCGUGCGCACCGCGUGUCCUCACAGUGACCCGGGGACCCGGGGCCGCCUGAGCCCCAACUCUGAAGCCGGCUGUGGACCACUCGUACCCCGGUGGAUGCUGGACCCGCACCCGCUCAGGAGCAGAGGGGAGAGGAGCGAUCACAGGGAGAUGUGGAGUAGGCGAUGC